UGGGGAAUCUUCCGCAAUGGACGAAAGUCUGACGGAGCAACGCCGCGUGUAUGACGAAGGCCUUCGGGUUGUAAAGUACUGUCUUUGGGGACGAACGGUAUCUAUGUAAAUAAUGNAGAUACAUGACGGUACCCAAGGAGGAAGCCCCGCUAACUACGUGCCAGCAGCCGCGGUAAUACGUAGGGGGCGAGCGUUGUCCGGAAUCAUUGGGCGUAAAGGGCGCGUAGGCGGGUCAUUAAGUCUGGUGUGAAAGGCAGGGGCUCAACCCCUGGAAGGCACCGGAACUGGUUAUCUUGAGGACAGGAGAGGAAAGCGGAAUUCCACGUGUAGCGGUGAAAUGCGUAGAUAUGUGGAGGAACACCAGUGGCGAAGGCGGCUUUCUGGACUGUAACUGACGCUNA
rnacentral:rRNA from 1 species